rnacentral:rRNA from 1 species
GGAAUAUUGCACAAUGGGCGAAAGCCUGAUGCAGCAACGCCGCGUGAGGGACGACGGCCUUCGGGUUGUAAACCUCUUUUAGUAGGGAAGAAGCGAAAGUGACGGUACCUGCAGAAAAAGCACCGGCUAACUACGUGCCAGCAGCCGCGGUAAUACGUAGGGUGCAAGCGUUGUCCGGAAUUAUUGGGCGUAAAGAGCUCGUAGGCGGUUUGUCGCGUCUGCUGUGAAAACCCGAGGCUCAACCUCGGGCCUGCAGUGGGUACGGGCAGACUAGAGUGCGGUAGGGGAGAUUGGAAUUCCUGGUGUAGCGGUGGAAUGCGCAGAUAUCAGGAGGAACACCAAUGGCGAAGGCAGAUCUCUGGGCCGUAACUGACGCUGAGGAGCGAAAGCAUGGGGAGCGAACAGGAUUAGAUACCCCUG